CCUACGGGAGGCAGCAGUGAGGAAUAUUGGUCAAUGGACGAGAGUCUGAACCAGCAACGCAGCGUGAAGGAUGACUGCUCUCUGGGUUGAAAACUCUUUUUAUAAAGGAGUAAAACGAGGCACGUCUGUCUUCUUGCACGUACUUUAUGUAUAAGGAACGGCUAACUCCGAUCCAGCAGCCGCGGUACUACGGAGGAUCCGAGCGUUAUCCGGAUUUAUUGGGUUUAAAGGGUGCGUAGGCGGCCUUGUACGUCAGUGGUGAAAGUCUGUGGCUCAACCAUGGUAUUGCCGUUGAAACUGGGGGGCUUGAGUGUGUAUGAGGCAGGCGGAAUGCGGGGUGUAGCGGUGAAAUGCUUAGAUAUAACGCGGAACCCCAGUGGCGAAGGCGGCUUGC
rnacentral:rRNA from 1 species